GGGGGUGAAUUGGAAUCGACCGGAUAGUUGAAGUGGUGAGUGGCGUGUCGUGGUUGGUCAGUGGGCCACGUAAAAAGCUGACUAAAACAAUAAAUGCUGAAGAAAACUUCGCAUUGGCUGCCUAACUAAAACGGCAACCCCGGCCUAAGCUUUUUGCUGGAGAGAGCUGACGGCUGGUUACCAAUUCCAGAUCGCAACCUACCAUGACGAGUACGUAGGAAGUUAAAGAAGUUCUCGAACCGCCUGACGUCAAUCCGGUCACUGGGAGCGACGGCGGGUUAAACUCAAAACUGUGACUACACACGUAGAGGCCAUCGCGGAAAUAUCGCGGGACGCGGGUUCAAAUCCCGCCGCCUCCACUA
rnacentral:tmRNA from 1 species